GUGGCUGUAGCUCAGUUGGAUAGAGCGCCAGCCUCCGGAGCUGGAGGCCGCAGGUUCGAUUCCUGCCAGCCACGCCA
rnacentral:tRNA from 1 species